AGCGGACAGAUGGGAGCUUGCUCCCUGAUGUUAGCGGCGGACGGGUGAGUAACACGUGGGUAACCUGCCUGUAAGACUGGGAUAACUCCGGGAAACCGGGGCUAUACCGGAUGCUUGUUUGAACCGCAUGGUUCAGACAUAAAAGGUGGCUUCGGCUACCACUUACAGAUGGACCCGCGGCGCAUUAGCUAGUUGGUGAGGUAACGGCUCACCAAGGCGACGAUGCGUAGCCGACCUGAGAGGGUGAUCGGCCACACUGGGACUGAGACACGGCCCAGACUCCUACGGGAGGCAGCAGUAGGGAAUCUUCCGCAAUGGACGAAAGUCUGACGGAGCAACGCCGCGUGAGUGAUGAAGGUUUUCGGAUCGUAAAGCUCUGUUGUUAGGGAAGAACAAGUGCCGUUCAAAUAGGGCGGCACCUUGACGGUACCUAACCAGAAAGCCACGGCUAACUACGUGCCAGCAGCCGCGGUAAUACGUAGGUGGCAAGCGUUGUCCGGAAUUAUUGGGCGUAAAGGGCUCGCAGGCGGUUUCUUAAGUCUGAUGUGAAAGCCCCCGGCUCAACCGGGGAGGGUCAUUGGAAACUGGGGAACUUGAGUGCAGAAGAGGAGAGUGGAAUUCCACGUGUAGCGGUGAAAUGCGUAGAGAUGUGGAGGAACACCAGUGGCGAAGGCGACUCUCUGGUCUGUAACUGACGCUGAGGAGCGAAAGCGUGGGGAGCGAACAGGAUUAGAUACCCUGGUAGUCCACGCCGUAAACGAUGAGUGCUAAGUGUUAGGGGGUUUCCGCCCCUUAGUGCUGCAGCUAACGCAUUAAGGCACUCCGCCUGGGGAGUACGGGUCGCAAGAC
rnacentral:rRNA from 1 species